rnacentral:rRNA from 1 species
UCUAUGGCCAUACCACCCUGAACGCGCCCGAUCUUGUCUGAUCUCAGAAGCUAAGCAGGGUCGGGCCUGGUUAGUACUUGGAUGGGAGAGUGUGUCCUGAAACAAAUAAAA